UUAUAAUGUUAACUUACGACUUAGCUUAGCAUGGCCAACCUUGAUUCAUGUAGUUUCAUGUGAAAAGAAUGAAACCAUAACUCAAAGGAGAAACCUGUACAACCAAACCUGCACUCUCUCAACAUCUAAGGACCAUAACAGAAUGUGCUAGUUUAAAUAUGACACCACUACCAUUUUGAUGUUAAACUCAAAAGUGCAACAACAUGUUCAUUUUAAUUACAGUACCUCUGACCUGCAUAUGUAUUUCUUUAGCAGCCUUGUGAACUUGGCUACUGUUAUUCUGUUUUCUUUUCAGAGAACAAAAGCUGUUCCAGGAAAAGACAAACACAAGGGCUAAUUACAAAGCAAAUCUGAAUCUCCAAGGCAUUGCAUUCUGGCCAUUUCUAUUCAACACUAUGGGAUUCUGUGUAAAACUCAUUUCAGCAUGAAGUCAUUGCUAAAAAUAAUCAGUGUGUGAAUCUGCAUGGCUCACAGUGUGAUCUGUGUAUUCUGUGUCCAGGCGUGAAUUAUUCCUAUACUCAUGCAGCUGUUUCAGUCUGCCUUAGUGACAAUCAAACAGCUUGCAUUUUGACUCAUACUAUACAGAGGGAUGAACCUGACUGGGUUUACAGACUGAUAAUGUCAGAGUGAUGUACAGUAAACUGACCACAAUCAUGGAACAGUCAUUAUAAUUAUAAUAACUCAUUUAUAGGAAAACAAUAGGGAUUUACAUUCUUCCUUUACCGAAUACAGUGGAGAUAGGUUAGGGCUCAUUAGUAACGUCGCACAGGCAAUGUGAAAACUAUGAAGUCAACGAAUAUGUCGGGUAAUAUCAUCAUUUAAAUCCUUGUCAAAAUGUUUAUUCAGCACAAUUUCAUACUUUAACAGCCAUAUAAAGAAAUCCACUAUUAACAAUCCCUAAGCUUUUGAUUUUUGCUUUUAUUUGUAAGCUCAGGCAUUCUUAAUCCACUUCAGAACUGUGUAGUGCAAGGUUAAAUGAUGUGUACUUUAACAGUGCCUGUUGUUGUGUAGUUGUUAAAACCUGUUUAUGUGUAUGUGAUGCAUUUACAACAAUAUUCCAAAAGAGUACGGUACAUCAUGCAUUUUAAGAUGACCGCUCUGCUGUAUGUGUAAUGCAACCCAUUAUAACCCACUUGUCAUGCCCUUAUCUUUCAUUACAAACAUUAUGCUAGGCAUGGCAUUAUCAACAGCUGGAGAACAUCUAUCAUCUGUAUAAUACUGGUAAGCACAUGGUAGCUCUAUUUAGCCUUAGUUAGAAUUGAAAGAAUUGAAAACAACAUAAUCUAUAAAGGAACCUCGGGUUGUAACACUAGGAAUAAGAAAGCAAUACUGACAGGUAAGGUUAAAAAAGCAAAGCCUAAUUUUCCCGUUAAAAAUGUGACUAUGAUACAUCUAAUGUAGCCUAGCACAUUAAAAACGAGUUCUGAAGUUAGAGUUUUUAUAAAAGAAAACCGUCAUUAAAAUAUGUAGCCAAGAUGUAGCUUUUUUUUCAUUCAAAUCUAGAUGAGACGUUCAUUAAAGAAGAAAAAUAUUUCAUCAGAUGCUAAAUAAAACAAAGGGAAUUUUUGGCUUCUCUCAGCAUAAAAUUCCUUUGAAAGAUUAAUUAAUACAUGUAAAUUAUGCAAAUUAUGCCCAUGCAAAUAUUUUAUGAAGACAAUUAAGGGAACCAUUAAUUACUGCCUUUUUUGCUUCAGUGAGAUUCAGUCAUUUAAUUUUAAUUUCACUUUAACUGUUUUGAUGUUUAAUCUUGCAAUAAAGAACUUUAUCUCUCCAAGCAGGGUCACUUAAACUUGCAAAACACAUCAAGUGGCAAGCAGCAGAAAUCAGGAAUGAUAUUCUACAUGCUAUGUUUAGCAUCACCAGGAAUUUGUGACAAGAUGCACUCCCAGAAGCUAGGAGGCUAGAAAUCCAUAUGAGCUCAUUCUUGGAAUUGGUUCAAAUACUGGAAAAGCAAUUAAUUUGUACUGGCUGUGUUAAUACAUGAGAAUUAGAAAGUGUGACACAAGACAAAUAGAGAUAAUUACUCCUCUAAAAUGAUGUUCUCCUUAAUAAGUUUUUUUUUUUUUUUUUUUUUUUUUUUUUACAGCAGGAAAUUAUUACACUGAUUUUUGGUUACUAAGGUUUUAUUCGCAUAAAUUAUUUAACAUUGUCAUCAGUAAGAGGAUGAUUAUUCAAGGUUUGUGCUAGCACUCCAUCCACAGCAGGGAGAGAUACAAUAUAGGCAAAGUCAUCUGGAGCAAAGGUAAUGCUUCUUCCUUCCAUGUCAUCAAAAGGCAGUCAUUGAGUUUAUUACAGAUGCAAACAAGACUGAUUUUGCUUGCUUUCACAGCAAGGCACGUGAAACAACUACAAGAAAACAUUAUUUACAAAUACUGGUCCCUAAAUCAUACCCUGCCUGGACAGUUACAUGACCAGAAGACCAUUUUUGUGUUUUACACAGGUUAUGAAACAUACACAGAAUACAGAGAUUGGGGUAGAUUGGUUAUAACAAUAUACCAAAACAGCACGGUUUUCUAUAGUUUAAGGAAUGAGGUGACCAUUCAUCUAUUCAUCUAUUAACUCAUUAAACACUAAUCUUCUUAAAUAACUAAACAAGCUUGAUUUAUGAAGUAAGGCAUCCUGGGCUCAUAUUUUUGCUGGCUAUUUUAAUAUUGAUUUAAGCAUUACAGAACACAAAGGCUGGUCCUAAACAUGGGUUCAGAAUCACUGUGAAACUGGUUAUUACAGGGUCUAGGAUCACCUCAUAUUCAACACUGGGUCUGGAAACAUUAAGAGUUGGGCAGUAAGUUUUUCCCUCUCACAAUUUUAGUUUUGACCCAGAACAAGGCUUCUCAGCAUGCCCCAAAGUACACUAUGUAGUGUUCAAAAUAAAAAACACUGAAGACAUGGGAACGGGGAACCAGUAGCAAUGCGUUUGUAAUGGAAGUUUUAUUUUGGAUGCACGCAUUUAACUGAAAUGCUCUCUUGCCAACAGUGUGCACAUGGAAUGUGUUCAACUGCAUGCCAGAGAUGAUUAAUGAGAUGAUCAUGUGAAUAAAAAUAUCAAAACAAUCAGGAUAAUGUUGAAAUAGAUAUCACAGGACAACAUACAGAACACAAGACAGCAACAGUAAUGAGUUUGUUUUAAACACAGUGUUCAGUGUUGCUUUAAUGGCUGAGCAUUAGAGGGUUUUAAAGUAAUCUGAUAUCAAUAAUAUAUGUUAACAUAAUAGAGCAUGAGGAAUAAAUUAUGCCGCUUGACCUUCAGGUCUGCUGGUUUCCCUGUGUAGACUAUUGAGGAUGGGAUGUGACAGCCAGCAAUGAGACACUCUAACCAGCAUUGGACAAAGUAUUUCAGACAUAUGUGCAUUGGGGAAGCAUACUAAGAAUGCAGAAGACUAUCCUUAAAGAGCGUUGGUCAAAGUCUGAAACGUGCUGCCGUCUUGA